rnacentral:rRNA from 1 species
GACGAACGCUGGCGGCGCGCUUAACACAUGCAAGUCGAACGGAAAGGCCUGCUUUCCCUUGUGGAUUGCGGGUACUCGAGUGGCGAACGGGUGAGUAACACGUGAGUGAUCUGCCCCCAACUUGGGUAUAAGCCUGGGAAACUGGGUCUAAUUCCCGAUAGGACUGCAGGGUGGUGCCUGUGGUGGAAAACGAUUUUCUAGUGGUUGGGGAUGAGCUCGCGGCCUAUCAGCUUGUUGGUGGGGUAAUGGCCUACCAAGGCGGCGACGGGUAGCCGGCCUGGGGGGGUGGACGGCCACAUUGGGACUGAGAUACGGCCCAGACUCCUACGGGAGGCAGCAGUGGGGAAUAUUGCACAAUGGGCGGAAGCCUGAGGCAGCGACGCCGCGUGGGGGAUGACGGCCUUCGGGUUGUAAACUCCUUUCGACCGCGAGGAAGCCACCUGGUUGGAAGGGUGGUGACGGUAGUGGUAGAAGAAGCACCGGCUAACUACGUG